AAACGUAGGUGGCAAGCGUUGUCCGGAUUUACUGGGCGUAAAGGGCGUGUAGGCGGUUCGUUAAGUCCGGUGUGAAAUCUCCCGGCCUAACUGGGAGGGGUCAUCGGAUACUGGCGGACUAGAGGGGGGCAGAGGAAGGUGGAAUUCCCGGUGUAGCGGUGAUAUGCGUAGAUAUCGGGAGGAACACCAGUGGCGAAGGCGGCCUUCUGGGCCCACCCUGACGCUGAGGCGCGAAAGCGUGGGGAGCAAACCGGAUUAGAAACCCGAGUAGUCC
rnacentral:rRNA from 1 species